UUCUAGGCUGUUAUCUGAUCCUCAGUCAUUCCCCAAGCGCAUCUGCUUGGUAUAUCUCUAAAACUCAGUGCUUUCUAAAGGAUGGAAGAAAGAAUCAGGAACAUUGCAGAAGCGACUGAGAAACACAAGGCGUGGAACUGACGUUUCUCUGUUAAGUUAGCAGACUGGGACCUCCCCUGGAGUUGCAAGGACUCCAGCUGUAAAGGAAACUGCGCUUUGCCCUACAUCGGUUACAUCUGUAAUGACUACUCACUAGAGUUCUGCCAUGAUUCUUAAGGAGUAAACUUCUCCGACCACCCUUGCCGAGUGCUUAGAACCCAUGAAGCACUCCAUAGCCUUUUGCUGUCAGACUAGGUUGCAAACGUGAGCACCACGUUUUCAUGAAUUGGG
ensembl:processed_transcript Gm15927 predicted gene 15927